rnacentral:rRNA from 1 species
AUUGAACGCUGGCGGCAGGCCUAACACAUGCAAGUCGAGCGGAUGAAGGGAGCUUGCUUCUGGCUUCAGCGGCGGACGGGUGUGUAAUGCCUAGGAAUCUGCCUGGUAGUGGGGGAUAACGUCCGGAAACGGGCGCUAAUACCGCAUACGUCCUGAGGGAGAAAGAGGGGGAUCUUCGGAACUCACGCUAUCAGAUGAGCCUAGGUCGGAUUAGCUAGUUUGUGGGGUAAAGGCCUACCAAGGCGACGAUCCGUAACUGGUCUGAGAGGAUGAUCAGUCACACUGGAACUGAGACACGGUCCAGACUCCUACGGGAGGCAGCAGUGGGGAAUAUUGGGCAAUGGGCGAAAGCCUGAUCCAGCCAUGCCGCGUGUGUGAAGAAGGUCUUCGGAUUGUGAAGCACUUUAAGUGGGGAGGAAGGGCAGUAAGUUAAUACCUUGCUGUUUUGACGUUACCAACAGAAUAAGCACCGGCUAACUUCGUG